rnacentral:rRNA from 1 species
AUACGUAGGUGACAAGCGUUAUCCGGAUUUACUGGGCGUAAAGGGCGUGUAGGCGGUCUUGCAAGUCAGAAGUGAAAUUCCUGAGCUCAACUCGGGCGCUGCUUCUGAAACUGCAGGACUUGAGUGCUGGAGGGGAUAGCGGAAUUCCUAGUGGAGCGGUAAAAUGCGUAGAUAUUGGGAAGAACACCGGUGGCGAAGGCGCCUUUCUGGACUGUGUCUGACGCUCAGAUGCGAAAGCCAGGGUAGCGAACGGGAUUAGAUACCCUGGUAGUCCACACUGUAAACGAUGAAUGCUAGGUGUAAGAGGUAUCGACCCCUUUUGUGCCGGAGUCAACACAAUAAGCAUUCCGCCUGGGGAGUACGGCCGCAAGGUUGAAACUCAAAUGAAUUGACGGGG